GAUCCUGGCUCAGAUUGAACGCUGGCGGCAUGCUUUACACAUGCAAGUCGAACGGUAACAGGUCUUCGGAUGCUGACGAGUGGCGAACGGGUGAGUAAUGCAUCGGAACGUGCCCAGAGGUGGGGGAUAACGCAGCGAAAGCUGUGCUAAUACCGCAUACGCCCUACGGGGGAAAGGGGGGGAUCGCAAGACCUCUCACUAUUGGAGCGGCCGAUGGCUGAUUAGCUAGUUGGUGGGGUAAAGGCCUACCAAGGCGACGAUCAGUAGCUGGUCUGAGAGGACGACCAGCCACACUGGGACUGAGACACGGCCCAGACUCCUACGGGAGGCAGCAGUGGGGAAUUUUGGACAAUGGGCGAAAGCCUGAUCCAGCAAUGCCGCGUGUGCGAAGAAGGCCUUCGGGUUGUAAAGCACUUUUGUCAGGAAAGAAAUUGUCUGGGCUAAUACCCCGGGCCGUUGACGGUACCUGAAGAAUAAGCACCGGCGUAAUAUCGUG
rnacentral:rRNA from 1 species